rnacentral:lncRNA from 1 species
CUGGGCUAUAACUUGGACAUCUUUCUAUGUUGAUACCUAUGUUGUGAUCUCAUUGUUAUUUUUGAAGGGUGAAAUAAUUGGUACUCAGUAAGUAUGCUCCAAUGCAGUGAUACCUAUUAUUUGUGCCAGUGUCAGUCUUGACUUGUCUGUGCCUGUGCCGUAUUAGUUAUUAAAUAUUUUGAAGAAUGAUUCCUAGUCCUUUCUCUGUAUUCCAAAAUAGAGCAGCUGUAUCUCUCAAUUCUUGAAUGUAGCCCACAAGAUUUCUCAACAAACCUAGAGCUCAACAAAGGCUAGAACUAUGUGAUAAGCGUGCAGAUCUUCACAAUGCAAGGCAGACAAUCUGGUGUUCUGAGAGCAAGACUGAGGUCUUUCUGUAGAUGCCCAGGCCAUAUGUGGAAGCUGACACUUGGCAACAACAGGUGGAGAAUUCUGCAGAAUUUCAGAAGCACUGGCUUAGUGUGUUGCAAGAAGGCCCUCACCAGAUGCCAGUACCUUGAUCUUGGACUUUUCAACUUCCAAAAUUGUGAG